GACAGGGUGGCCGAGUGGCGAAGGCACCAGUCUGCAAAACUGGAGAUCGCGGGUUCGAAUCCCGUCCCUGUCU
rnacentral:tRNA from 1 species